CAUAGGUGGCCAACGAAGCCCAAGUGGUUGGAGGAUCUAGAUGUAUAAAGCAGACAGUGCAACGUGGACGUUUUGUCCUUUGAUUCUUCACAUUUGAAUUUCUUUUAAACUGUCUUUCCUUGUCGAAAUGUUCCCAUUCAUUUUCAUUUGUCAAGAAAAGAAGUUAAUUUUUCCCAGAUAGCCAGCCAUCAUGGGAAUGUUCCACCUCCUACUCACUCUGAUGAUUACGGCUACUCUGAUCCAGAUAGCCGACGCUCAAGGCAGUUUUUGCGAAUUUUUUAACAGGAUCCUCACGAAUAUUGGAUGCACUGGCUCACCCAACGAUAGGCCGAUCUGCAUUGUGUUGUUAUUCUUCUAUCAAAUCCUCUGCAGUACCUCUUGAGCAUAUGAGAGAAUAAAAGCAUCGUGUACACGAGUGUGUCACAUUGGCAUCGGGUGUGGUACUAAGGAGUGUCAACAAUUUGACACCCAGAGAAGUAACUUGAUUUCAAGGAACAGUUUAUCUUUUUCCCCCACGUUGACAUACCCAUCAAAGACAAUCGAAAAUGGGGGUUUUUUUCACAAGCGACAGAAAAGGAAUCAAUAAAUAAUACUCCUGCGA